rnacentral:misc_RNA from 1 species
GAUUGAAGAACGCAGCGAAAUGCGAAAAGUAAUGUGAAUUGCAGAAUUCAGUGAAUCAUCGAAUCUUUGAACGCACAUUGCGCCCGCCAGUAUUCUGGCGGGCAUGCCUGUCUGAGCGUCAUUUCAACCCUCACGCCCCUAGGGCGUGGUGUUGGGGAUCGGCCAGCGCCCUAGCGGGCGAGGCCGUCCCCUAAAUCUAGUGGCGGACCCGUCGUGGCCUCCCCUGCGAAGUAGUGAUAUUCCGCAUAGGAGAGCGACGAGCCCCUGCCGUUAAACCCCCAACUUUCUCAGGUUGACCUCAGAUCAGGUAGGAAUACCCGCUGAACUUAAGCAUAUCAAUAAGCGGAGGA